AAUUUUGGACAAUGGGGGAAACGGUGAUCCAGCGAUCCGGGUGUUGGUAUGAAGGCCUGGGUGUUGUAAAGUACUUUUGGCAGAGAAGAAAAGGUAUCCCCUGUGGCGGGAUACGUCUGACUGUAUCUGCAGAAUAAGCACCGGCUAACUACGUGCCAGCAGCCGCGGUAAUACGUAGGGUGCAAGCGUUAAUCGGAAUUACUGGGCGUAAAGCGUGUGUAGGCGGUUCGGAAAGAAAGAUGUGAAAUCCCAGGGCUCAACCUUGGAACUGCAUUUUUAACUGCCGAGACAGAGUAUGUCAGAGGGGGGUAGACAUCCACGUGUAGCAGUGAAAUGCGUAGAUAUCCGCCGGAACACCGAUGGCGAAGGCAGCCCCCUGGGAUAAUACUGACGCUCAGACACGAAAGCGUGGGGAGCAAACAGG
rnacentral:rRNA from 1 species